CCUGAGUUGUAGUUCUUCUUUAACGACUGGGAUGAGUUUAUUUUUAUUUUUUAUUUUGGAAGCGGGGGAGUUGCCAAGUUGUGAGACCUGGAUACUCCGGUGUCACUGUGUCCAGUGCUCGGGAGGCCGAGCAUUUCCGGGUCGCUGGUCGACCUUGGCUCGGCGACCCGGGUGGUGCUGGCCGCCCCUCGCGCGCGUGGGUGCAGACCCGGCCCGAGAGCACCGGGCCGAAGGAUCUCACUAAGUUGUUGAAGCUGACCUGGAACUUGUGAUUCUCCUGCUUCAGCCUCUCUAGUUGCCCGGAUUAUAGGAUGGCCCACAAUAUGGAACCACUGGCAAAGAAGAUCUUUAAAGGAAUUUUAGUAGCUGAAUUGAUGGGUGUUUUUGGAGCCUAUUUUUUGUUUAAUAAAAUGAACACAAGUCAAGACUUCAGGCAAACAAUGAACAAGAAAUUUCCCUUCAUCUUGGAAGUUUACUAUAAAUCCAUCGAACAGGCUGGAAUGUAUGGAAUCAGAAAGCAAGAUCAAGAGAAAUGGCUGGAUAGCAAAAAUUAAGAAUAAGUCCAGUCAUCACGUUCAGCCUCCCAUUGGAGCUGUUUGAGACCUUUAAGAGGAGAAGAAAGAUGAGCUGAGCCAUGUUGCAGACUCUGGGCCACCACAGAACAUCCUACUGACUAACGGGAAUGUCAGAUCUGGCCAUUGAUCAGAAUUUACCCUAAGAGAAAUACUAUCAGCCAAGAUUAAAAUUCCACAGUUGACAUGCAUGGGCUUUUGGAAUAUUUAAGGAAAAUACAAAUUUUAAUUCAGAGUUCUUAUCUUUGGACUAUGAAAAAGGUGAAAAAGGUGACUGAAG